rnacentral:misc_RNA from 1 species
ACUGAAGCGGAAAGAUCGAUGCUACGAGAAAAAGGUAUAAAAAUCAUCAGCAUCUCAUGUUAUGUAUGCAAAUGGAUGCACAGCCUUUAAUAUACAACCAUGCAUUAUAUGCAGAUGUUGAUGUUUCACAAGCCUCUUAAUGUGGGGUGGGGUGAUUCCAACAGCACCUGUCUGCAGCCAUAUUAGUUUUAUGUUAUAAUUCUAUCAUGAAGUUGUUUCCUUCUGUUAUCGUUUCAGCAAUUAUUGAUCCUGUACAAAAUUGCAUAUGACUAUUAGGAAUUUGUACAAGUUGAGGAAGAUCAAUUUAAAUUUACAUCUCAGAUUUCCCGAGUAUGUAUACUAUGGUCUAUCGUUCAGGUUCAGAUUCUUAGAAUGAAAUUCACCUGUCUUUUGCCAUAUAGCAAAAUCACAUUGUGACCCUAAGACAAAAAAUUUCUCAAGAAGUUUGAUGUGGACAACUUUUACACAGGUUCGAUACCAAAGCCGGAAAA